rnacentral:rRNA from 1 species
AUUUAAAGUCUGGCCUGCCCACUGAAAUUUUAAGGGCCGCGGUAUUUUGACCGUGCAAAGGUAGCAUAAUCAAUAGUUUUUUAAUUGAAAGCUGGAAUGAAUGGUUGGAUAAGAAAAAUACUGUCUUAAAUUAAAUUUUUUAAAACUUUAUUUUUAAGUUAAAAAGCUUAAAUUUUAUUAAAAGACGAGAAGACCCUGUAGAGUUUUAUAAUAAAAUUAUAUUUAAUUUUUUAGUAUUAUUAUUUUAAUUAUGUUUUUAUUAUUUGAUUGGGGUGAUUUAAAAAUUUAAAUAACUUUUUAUUUUUUUUUAACAUUAAUUAAUGAAAAAUUGAUCCAUAUAAAUGAUUAAAAGACUAAAUUACCUUAGGGAUAACAGCGUAAUUUUUUCUGAUAGUUCUAAUUGAUGAAAAAGAUUGCGACCUCGAUGUUGGAUUAAAGUUAAUUUAUGGUGCAGAAGCUAUAGGAUUUGGUCUGUUCGACCUUUAAAACUUUACAUGAUCUGAGUUUAAACCGGUGUGAGCCAGGUUGGUUUCUAUCUUUAAUUAAAAAUUAUAUUUUAGUACGAAAGGACCAAAUAUAAAAUUAAUAAUUUAAAUUUUGAAUAUUAAUAUUAUUUUGGCAGAGUAGUGCAUUAGAUUUAGAAUCUAAUUAUAUAAUUUUUUAUAAAUAAUACUUGUAUUUUAAUAUUUUUUUAAUUUUAAUGUCUAUAAUUAUUCUGAUUAUUAGUAUUUUAAUUGGUGUUGCUUUUUUAACUUUAUUAGAACGUAAAGUUUU